AAUCAACGCUGGCGGCGUGCCUAAUACAUGCAAGUCGAACGCGAAAGUCCCGCAAGGGAUGAGUAGAGUGGCAAACGGGUGAGUAACGCGUGGGUGACCUGCCUUCGAGUGGGGGAUAACGUUUCGAAAGGAACGCUAAUACCGCAUGACAUCCUGUCUUUUAACAGGCGGAGAUCAAAGCUGGGGAUCGCAAGACCUGGCGCUUGAAGAGGGGCCCGCGUCCGAUUAGCAGUUGGUGGGGUAAUGGCUCACCAAGGCAUCGAUCGGUAGCCGGCCUGAGAGGGCGGACGGCCACACUGGGACUGAGACACGGCCCAGACUCCUACGGGAGGCAGCAGUAGGGAAUUGUUCGCAAUGGGCNCAAGCCUGACGACGCAACGCCGCGUGGAGGAUGAAGA
rnacentral:rRNA from 1 species